GUGUCAGCAGCCGCGGUAAUACGGAGGGUGCAAGCGUUGUCCGGAUUUAUUGGGUUUAAAGGGUGCGUAGGCGGUUUAUUAAGUCAGUGGUGAAAGACGGUCGCUCAACGAUUGCAGUGCCAUUGAUACUGGUAGACUUGAGUAUGAUUGAGGUAGCUGGAAUGGAUAGUGUAGCGGUGAAAUGCAUAGAUAUUAUCCAGAACACCAAUUGCGUAGGCAAGUUACUAAGUCAUAACUGACGCUGAGGCACGAAAGUGUGGGUAUCAAACAGGAUUAGAAACCCCGGUAGUCC
rnacentral:rRNA from 1 species